rnacentral:tRNA from 1 species
GGGCGCGUAGCUCAGCGGUAGAGCAGCUGACUUUUAAUCAGCAGGCCCUGGGUUCGACCCCCAGCGCGCUCACCA